AUGGCUACCCCUCACAAUAAUGUCAGCAGUGCCGCUUCAGGUGGCCCCACGACGCCGGUGACAGCCACCUCACUUCGGCCAACCUUUCGUCUCUCUUUCUUUCUCAUUUCCCCUUUUCUUUUUCCCUUGUCUUAUUUAUUUAUCUUCCAGCAUUGCCACUAGAUCUUACCACAACUAGCCACUAAUCCAUAACCACACACCUCACUGUUACCGACAUUGCUACCGCUCUUCACUUUGCCACUCAAUCACCAUGUCCACUUCCUUUGUGAGUUCACUACCUCAGUUUAUUAAUGCCUAAGAAAUUUUCAGGUUUUUUUUCCUUUUCCUUCGGUUUCUUUGUUUAUUUGUUUGUUUUUAUUUAUUUAUUUUAUGUUUCAGAUUUUGAUAAGUUUAAUUUCCUUGAUUUUGGUUCAUUUAGAUGAGUUUUAAGGGUUUGUUAUGAGACAUUUCACUUCUUGAUCUACACAGUGUUUGUUGGAAGCUUUAGGCCUAAUCUCAGGCUUUAAUUCUUAUUGUAUUUGGGCUUCAUUCCUAAUUCAAGCACUAUGAUGAGAGUGGAAAAACAUAGGAGUAGUUGGAGCAGUUGAAGACAAGGCAUGAGUUGGGCUAACUAAAUACCAAAAUUUUUGGAUUAAAAAGGAAGAUAAGAGCAAGAAACAAGGGAGAAGGACGACUCUUGGGACUUUUCUUAAUCUUCUGUGUAUUUUCUGUGAUAUUUGUGAGAGGAUUGAAAGUUUUUGUAUAUUUGAGCUUCAUCUUGUAAGCUUUUGGAAGUCAUUAUUGUUAUUGGGAUUGCACCGCUAAGUUUACUUAUUCAUCAUUGUCCUCCUAAUUUUUGUUGUAUAUAUUUGUUUUAAUUUUCUUUCUAUAUACAUAGAAAUAGAUUUGUUUAGAUUUUCAUUGUGCAUA